rnacentral:misc_RNA from 1 species
GAGCUCCACGUAGUAAAACGUGUCGAGUUUUGGAUUGGUGAGGAGAGGGGUAAAAAUGGUAUUUCGGGUAACGGCUGAUUCGCCGAAGACGAUAUAAGACGGUUUAGCUGAACCAAUCCGGUCUACAAGGCAGUAUGAGAAUUUCUGACCGAACCGGUUACCGGCUUGACCCGGAAACGAGAGUUUCCCUUUUCCUAACCCUAAUAAACCGGCAGCUCCGAUAAACAAACCUUCAUUAUCAUGGCCGCAUCCAAACGAAAUAUUGCUAACACUUGUUUUUCUGAAAUUUAAAGUUUCCGUCGAGUAUUCACCGACGGUAAACGAACCAUCGCCGUAUGAGACUUGGUAAAGGCAUUUGUUCCGAUUGUUACAUCCUGAGGAAUCAAGUCGGCGGCACAACGGAGAAUCACAAGUGACCGUAGAGAAGGAAGACGACUUACUCGGGUCAAAAACCGGGUCUGAUUGAGAGUAACAUUUCGAACAAGGCAAACAUUGGAUCCAAACAAUAUCACUACCCGUAUCUAGAACUAAGUAAACGUACUUAACCGGCGUACCGAUACCAAUACGGGUAAAAUACUCACCACUCCCCUGAGAUAGACCGGAGAUAACAGAGCUGCUGAAAUCCUUACCGGUGGAAUUAGCGGAAAGAAGGGAAAGGGAUUUGGCUCUAAUAGCAUCGCGUUGGAGGCGGAGUUUGAACAAUGCAUGAGGAGUUGCGUUGAAGGAUGAAGGUGAAAGUAAGUCGACAUGGUGUAAUUGUACAGAGAGAGUAUUUUCGUUAUCGGAAGAUAGUUGUGGUUCCCAUGAGAGAGAUUGAAGUUGAGGGAGAGGAUUUAGGGUCAGUGUUUGAUACUGAAGAGAAUGAGCUGCAGCAAAAAUGGUGAAGAAGAAGAGAACUGAAAUGAG